AGUACCUUGCAUGUAAUUGUUCAACUGCUGGACAAAGGAAUGAAAGACAGGUGCAAAAAUAAAUCUUCUUUUGCAAUACAAAAUGCAUUGUUCAGUAUGAGUUUUGAUUCAUACAAGGACUAUAACACU